rnacentral:rRNA from 1 species
GAUGAACGCUGGCGGCGUGCUUAACACAUGCAAGUCGAACGGAAAGGCCCAAGCUUGCUUGGGUACUCGAGUGGCGAACGGGUGAGUAACACGUGGGUGAUCUGCCCUGCACUUCGGGAUAAGCCUGGGAAACUGGGUCUAAUACCGGAUAGGACCACAUUUUGGAUGGUGUGGUGGAAAGUUUUUCGGUGUGGGAUGAGCUCGCGGCCUAUCAGCUUGUUGGUGGGGUAAUGGCCUACCAAGGCGUCGACGGGUAGCCGGCCGGAGAGGGUGUACGGCCACAUUGGGACUGAGAUACGGCCCAGACUCCUACGGGAGGCAGCAGUGGGGAAUAUUGCACAAUGGGCGCAAGCCUGAUGCAGCGACGCCGCGUGGGGGAUGACGGCCUUCGGGUUGUAAACUCCUUUCGCUAGGGACGAAGCGUUAUGUGACGGUACCUGGAGAAGAAGCACCGGCUAACUACGUG